CCCCGCCGCACCUGAGCGCUCCCCGCCGGGCCGGGCAGGGGUGUGUGGGGGGGGGGACACGGCCGGGGGGGCGGCCGCGGAGCUCCACGCCACUGCACCGUCCGGGGCCGAGCGCGACAAAGUCCUCCCGCAAGGCUCCCCGUGAAAACGCCCGCGGGGUUACACGAGCCGGGCGCCGCUAUUUUCCGAAGCGUCCUCCAAGCCCUAAAAGCGGAGCUCCCAGCGGGCGCGGAGCGCGCUGGAAGUCCCGCAGCCUGCAGAGAUUUCGCACGGAGCCGGAGAGAAACAGAAACUAAAGGAGAGGAGCAGCCGAGGGGUGCGGACGGGCUGCCCGGGCACCGCUGCGGCACCGAGCCCAGGGGCUGCUCGGCGAGGAGCCCCCCGGGCGGCUGCGGGGCUCUGCGGGGGCACCAAAGCCCCGCCGUCCCCCUACGAAAAGCCCGCUGUCCUCAGCCGAAAAUCCAGUCUAAAAACAAUUCGAAAGAAAGAAAGAAAGAGGGGUCCAGCGGAAGACGGAGGAAAAAGCUGCGCAAGACUUACGAGCUGCAAUUCCACCCCCAAGUAAAUUUUAAAAAAUUAAAAAUUAAAGACACUCCCCCACACUCCCCUCCCCCAGACCUUCUUAACCCCCAGCUGGGACACCCGAGCUGCCUUCAGGAUCUUCCCUCUGGACCUGCGAAUCCAAAGCCCCUCACUGAGAGCGGAUCCAUUUUUGCUACAAAUUCUCUUCCUUCCCUCUCCUUGAUAAUUGUUCCCGAGCCCAGAAGGGUUUCUUCUUCUUCUUCAUUUUUUUUUUCAUUUUCCGUUUGUCUGCCUGUCUCUCUCCCCCCCUCUCUCUCUCUCUCUCCAGCGUUCAGUCUCUCCGGAUCGCGCAGGCAGAUGCCAAACGCAGACCUCUAGCGCCCACUAUUUCAAAAGCCAGGAAUAUUAUUUCACAAGACUUGUUGGAACGACUCAAAAAAAAAAAAAAAAAAAAAAAAAAAGUUGCUAUCCCCUUUCGUCAACUUCGAGCUAACUUUCGCUUUUUCUCCCCCCGGCCGCCGGCCCCGCGCGGCUCCGCCGUUCGCCCGCGGCGGCCCCGGCUCCGGCGCGCCCGGCGCUGCGCGGGGUGGUGCGGGGCGGCGCGGAGCGGCGCGGAGCGGAGCGGGGCGCCCGCUCUGCGCGCAGCCGGGGCCGGGCAGCGCGGCUCCCGCCGCCGCCGCGGGGACCGGGAGGGGGGCUCCAG
rnacentral:lncRNA from 1 species